UGCCAGCAGCCGCGGUAAUUCCAGCUCCAAUAGCGUAUAUUUAAGUUGUUGCAGUUAAAAAGCUCGUAGUUGGAUUUCGGGUGGGUUGUAGUGGUCCGGUUCGCUGUGUACUGCUACGGCCUUCCUUUCUGCCGGAAACGGGCUCUUGGGCUUUACUGUCUGGGACUCGGAGUCGGCGAGGUUACUUUGAGUAAAUUAGAGUGUUCAAAGCAAGCUUACGCUCUGAAUACAUUAGCAUGGAAUAACACGAUAGGACUCUGGCCUAUCUUGUUGGUCUGUAGGACUGGAGUAAUGAUUAAGAGGGACAGUCGGGGGCAUUCGUAUUUCAUUGUCAGAGGUGAAAUUCUUGGAUUUAUGAAAGACGAACUUCUGCGAAAGCAUUUGCCAAGGAUGUUUUCAUUAAUCAAGAACGAAAGUUGGGGGCUCGAAGACGAUUAGAUACCGUCGUAGUCUCAACCAUAAACGAUGCCGACUAGGGAUUGGCAGGUGUUCUUUUGAUGACCCUGCCAGCACCUUAUGAGAAAUCAAAGUUUUUGGGUUCCGGGGGGAGUAUGGUCGCAAGGCUGAAACUUAAAGGAAUUGACGGAAGGGCACCACCAG
rnacentral:rRNA from 1 species